UUCCUGCUGGGCACUCCUGGGGUGCAGAGCCAUGGUGUCACCAUGUCCAUAGGUAUGGUUGGUCAGCAGGUGGCUUUGCUGUUCUGCGUGAACGGGACCAGAUGUGUUUGAAGGCACACGUGUGUGAAUGUACGGUUAAGAACAUCACGGGCCUUUUACCUUCAAAACAUCGUGCAAGAUCACAGAGUGGGGUUUUCUCGACUUGGAAGUGGUGGUUUUCCAUUAUCAACUUGUGUUCAGUCUUUGCCUCAAGAUAACCUGCCUUAGUCCCCGUUCAGUUAAUUUCUGGAGAGAAGGGUUUGGUUUGAGGUGCUGGCGGCUGUGAAGCUCUUUCCAAAAUGAUGGUUGUAUUGAGUGUGAAUUAAUCUCUUUUCCUUCACAACAUCCAGAGUUUAAACCCCGGGUCCCCUGUGUCAUUGCUGUAAUUUUGUUCAGUUCUGAUCUCAUUGCUGUUGGAAAGCCUCUGGAGUCCAGCGAAUACUAAUGCUGUGACAUGUCUGGAGGGUGGAAGGACAUGACAUCUCUGGUCACGGCUGCAGAUACAGACAGCAGACAGAAGCCACUGCCAGCCUUGGGGGGCAGAUGUGGAAUACCUUUAGGGGUUGGCUGGGAUCUGGGCAGAGCUCCACUGACAGUUCCCAGGGCCGGUCAUGUGGCGGCCACCUGCCUCCGAGGCAUGCAUUCUGAUGAAGGUGCAUCACGGAAUUAAGGAAAUGGAGUGGAUCUGCUAAAUGGUGGAGGACAUGUCCUCGAGGAUUUGUCUAAAGGAUCCUUGACCAUUGACAAGAUGGCACCACAUCCUUCCUUGCUUUCUGCCUUACUCCGAUCUCAUCAAAUGGAGAAAUGGGCCUUAGAGGGGAAACGGUGUUUAACAACUUUACUGAAAUAUAAUUAUCGUACCAUUAAAUUCAUUCCUCUGAAGCGUGGAGUCCAGUGAUUUCUGCUGUUCACAGCAUCACCGUCGUCUGCUGGAAGAAUCUGCCAAGAGCCUUCCUGCCUUCCUGGGGAAACUUGAAAGUAGAAACGAAGUUAGUUUUGAGUCUUCACCUUCUCAUCACUCGUGUUUCAUUCCCGUUUGUAUUAAAUAUUUGUUAAGCACCUGUGUGUGUCAGGCACUGGUCUAGGCACAGGGGAUAAUGAAUGAAUGAAAGGACAAAAAUGUCCGCCUUUGUGGAACACACACACUUAUGCCAAUUGCAGGUCUGAGGAAACAGUCAACAAGAUUAGUAAGUAAAAUACUGUUGUAUAGUAGGUAGGCAGUGACAACUAAUGAUAAAAAUAAAGAAGAGAACACAGGAGAUGUUGGGGGGUAUUUUGUUUCUGGUUUUAGGGAGGGUGGACAGAGGUUUUGCUGAGAAAGAGAUGUUUGUCUAAAGGAGGUGAAACAGUCAGCCUUGCACCAGUUUGAAAGAAGAACAUUCCAGUUCCUGGAAGCAGUUUAUGGAAAGGUCCUGAGGCAGGAGUGAGCUUGCUGUGUUCGUGGAGCAGCAGAGGAGUCUGAGGGUUGAGCAGCAGAUCAGGGCAGGGGAGCUGGAGAUGAAGCCUGAGAGAAAGGAGGGAGGUGGGCCGAUGGAACCAUUCUAAACGUGGGUGUUGCGGGUUGCCCAACUCAGAAUAUUCUACAAGUCAUUGCACUGUUCAUUUGAUGUGAAUUUUAUGCAAUAGAAGUUAAGUUCCAAUAAAGUCAUUGAAACAGUUUUUCCCCAGUAAGUCCUCUUUUUCCACUUGAUGAGAUUAAGUGGGGAAAGGUGUGGUGCCAUCUUGCUAAUGGUUACAUAACCUUUAGACAAGCCCUUCAGGAAAUCUUCAGCCCUCUGGCGGAGUUAUGAUACUCCCAUC